rnacentral:rRNA from 1 species
UAGGGAAUCUUCCGCAAUGGACGCAAGUCUGACGGAGCAACGCCGCGUGAGUGAAGAAGGAUUUCGGUUCGUAAAACUCUGUUGUUAGAGAAGAACAGCGCAUAGAGUAACUGUUAUGCGUGUGACGGUAUCUAACCAGAAAGCCACGGCUAACUACGUGCCAGCAGCCGCGGUAAUACGUAGGUGGCAAGCGUUGUCCGGAUUUAUUGGGCGUAAAGCGAGCGCAGGCGGUCAAUUAAGUCUGAUGUGAAAGCCCCCGGCUCAACCGGGGAGGGUCAUUGGAAACUGGUUGACUUGAGUGCAGAAGAGGAGAGUGGAAUUCCAUGUGUAGCGGUGAAAUGCAUAAAUAUAUUGAGGAACACCAGUGGCGAAAGCUACUCACUAGUCUGUAACUAACGCUGAGGCUCGAAAGCGUGGGUAGCAAACAGG